GUUUAUUAGAAUAAUAAUAAAUUCAUUGAGUAACGUGUAAUUAAUGGUAAUUCAACAUUUUUUUCGAUCUAAAUAUGUAUACCGAAUGCGGUACAAUUUUCACUACUCCAGACACUUAGUUUCACGAUACGUAGUGAAUAAAACCGAAAUUUUCUUCGGUAACAAAAGUUACCGAUUAUUCACGACUAUAUACGGACCGCUGUUACGUAUCUUUUAUCUUCGUCCGGAUAACUAGGAUUCCGGGGAUCGUCUCAGUUAUCUCGAUAUUUUACAAUUUACCAUUGUACGACAAUAGCGAUAACCGUCGGGCCACACGGUGCCGGGCUCCGCGAUACAUUUCGGUCGCGGAAGGUUCGGCGGGGCGUUCGUUAUAGAAUUCAAGCGAUUCCCAUCGCGCCGGACGGACGUAUCUACUGAAUUUCAAUUACGAUUCAACGUUUAAUAAUAAUUUCCAUUUUCAUUAUACUUCAUAUUCGCCGCGUCGUCUCCGCGACAUCAUUUAGACAUUCCUGGGCGAUUGGCAAAAUAUCGACAGGCCCCUUGGUUUUUACACGGAUACCUAUAUUGUGUGGUGUGCGCGCGCGCGUGUGUAUACAUAUAUAUUUAUACCGUUCAUUCGGGAAUGCGUGUCGCCACCGCGGCAAUAACGCGUUCAAGCCGUUCGAGAUGCGAUGGUAUUUAUAGACGCGGUUCGGAAUUUGACAAAAACGAACCAUAUUAUAUUAUUAUAUAUAUAUAUGAACCUACACAAGGCGAUAUUUCAACCGGAUGUAUAUUUUUUUUUUUUUUCGGAUAUUACGACGAAUUUACGAAAUGCGUUUAUUUUUUAUUUUAUUUUAUUUUUUUCCCAAGACAAUACAUGUUUUUAAUUAAUCGUACGGAACCGUCAUCGGGUACGGCGAUCACGGCGCAAUCAAUUUCGGGAAUCCGUGAAUACGUAUUUUUACGCGGGACAGAUAUUAUUUGUUAUUCCGGUCUCCGCCGUCCAACCAAUCGAGACGAGCGCCUGGUUUACGGAGGUGUUUAUUUAUUUGUAUUACCGUGUCCGAUUGUUUAGUACUGGCGAAACGGUUACCGUUAUCGUAUCACGGUCGCCGGACCGCGAUUGAAAAAUAACUCGCCAUCGCGGUAACGCGACUUUUGCGGUUCUGUUUCCUUUGUCUUCCGUCGCUAUAAUAUGAUUAUUACGGCGUGGUUAUGGUUUUGUUUUCGCGUGUCGGAAAUCACGCGAGAAACACACAAGAUUUGAACUGUCUAAACAUUUCGCGUGGUUGACCACACCCCGCUCACGGCCGUGGCUGCGGUACGCUAUGAAAACGUGCCACGAAACGGACGUGUCCCGAAACCGUAACUAACCGCACGGUGCUAAACUUGCGGAUAAACGCCAGCAAUUCGUAUAGAGAAACUGUAAAUGUGACACAUUUUUUCGACGUAUGCCGAUUUGGCAGCGGCAUAUUCGGCGAUAAAGACAAACGUCCGUUGCACGUUGAAAAUCAUUCCCGUUGGUUAAUUUAAGGUAAAAUAACAUAUAAUUUAACACAAUAUUACGCAUGGCCACCUGUGUAUGGUAUUGAGGUGUUUAAAACAAUCUGGUAAUGCCAUAAUAUUGUUCACAAUUAGUUUUCGUUACUGAAUUAAUGUUUUUGAUUUUCCAAUCGAAAACCGAAUUGUCGUACAUGGGUCGCAGUAACGGAUGGCCAACAGAUACUGUUUUAUUGAAAUUUGGUGACGUUCUUUUGUCGCUUCAUCAUG